UAAAACGCCACACGAGUACAUACGAGUAACAUACGAGUAACACACAAGUACAUACGAGUACAUACGAGUAACACACGAGUACAUACGAGUAACAUACGAGUAACAUACGAGUACAUACGAGUAACAUACGAGUACAUACGAGUAACACACGAGUACAUACGAGUAAAACACAAGUACAUACGAGUAUAAUACGAGUACAUACGAGUAGAAUACGAGUAAAAUACGAGUAGUAAACUUGUUUUUAGUGUUUGUAGAUUGAAUACAGGCAAAAAGAUCGUCUUCUCUGUCGAAAAACGUGAAAUAGACUGAAACCGGCUAUCUUUAAAACCCGG